GUUGCAGUUAAAAAGCUCGUAGUUGGAUUUCGGAGUGAGCUAGUUGGUCCGCCGCAAGGUGUGUUACUGACUAGUUUGCUCUUCUUCGCAAAGACUGCGUGUGCUCUUGAGUGAGUGUGCGUAGGAUUUACGACGUUUACUUUGAAAAAAUUAGAGUGUUCAAAGCAGGCUAUUGCUUGAAUACAUGAGCAUGGAAUAAUGGAGUAGGACUUUGGUCCCAUUUUGUUGGUUUCUAGGACCGAAGUAAUGAUUAAGAGGGACAAUUGGGGGCAUCCGUAUUUCGUUGUCAGAGGUGAAAUUCUUGGAUUUACGAAAGACGAACAACUGCGAAAGCACUUGCCAAGAGUGUUUUCAUUAAUCAAGAACGAAAGUUAAAGGAUCGAAGACGAUCAGAUU
rnacentral:rRNA from 1 species